rnacentral:rRNA from 1 species
UACGUAGGUGGCAAGCGUUGUCCGGAUUUAUUGGGCGUAAAGAGCGCGCAGGCGGUUCGUUUAGUCCGAGGUGAAAUCUCCCGGCUCAACUGGGAUAGGUCUUCGGAUACUGGCGGACUUGAGGAGAGCAGAGGUGAGUGGAAUUCUCGGUGUAGUGGUGAAAUGCGUAGAUAUCGAGAGGAACACCAGUGGCGAAGGCGACUCACUGGGCUCCACCUGACGCUGAGGCGCGAAAGCGUGGGGAGCGAACCGG